CACGCAGGCGGUCUGUCAAGUCGGAUGUGAAAUCCCCGGGCUCAACCUGGGAACUGCAUUCGAAACUGGCAGGCUUGAGUCUUGUAGAGGGGGUAGAAUUCCAGGUGUAGCGGUGAAAUGCGUAGAGAUCUGGAGGAAUACCGGUGGCGAAGGCGGCCCCCCGGACAAAGACUGACGCUCAGGUGCGAAAGCGUGGGGAGCGAGCA
rnacentral:rRNA from 1 species